CCUACGGGAGGCUGCAGUGGGGAAUAUUGCACAAUGGGCGCAAGCCUGAUGCGGCCAUGCCGCGUGUGUGAAGAAGGCCUUCGGGUUGUAAAGCACUUUCAGCGGGGAGGAAGGCGUUAAGGUUAAUAACCUUGUCGAUUGACGUUACCCGCAGAAGAAGCACCGGCUAACUCCGUGCCAGCAGCCGCGGUAAUACGGAGGGUGCAAGCGUUAAUCGGAAUUACUGGGCGUAAAGCGCACGCAGGCGGUCUGUCAAGUCGGAUGUGAAAUCCCCGGGCUCAACCUGGGAACUGCAUUCGAAACUGGCAGGCUAGAGUCUUGUAGAGGGGGGUAGAAUUCCAGGUGUAGCGGUGAAAUGCGUAGAGAUCUGGAGGAAUACCGGUGGCGAAGGCGGCCCCCUGGACAAAGACUGACGCUCAGGUGCGAAAGCGUGGGGAGCAAACAGGAUUAGAUACCCUUGUAGUC
rnacentral:rRNA from 1 species